ensembl:lincRNA
GAGAUUAAUGUGUAUGUGGGGUAAACCUACCUGGGUAGUAGUAUGGUAAGGACUGGCCUCUCAAAGGAGGUAGUAUUUAAACUAAGGGGCCAAAAGGUAGCAGAUGAAGUCAGAAGCAAGGGCCAAACCUCAGAGCACCUUCUGGUCAUGAGCACCUGAAGAAGAAAACGAUCCCAAUCACCUUUACUGAAGCAAAUCCUAUCCUCUGGUUCUAUCUUCACCUGGGGGCCUCUAGCAUCCUUCGAAGACGCUUCUCCGCAAUUCCUUCUAGAAGUCUGCAGAUGCUUGCCUGUGCUUGGCCAUGCUGGAGUGACCACGUGGAUCACGUCCCGGCUCUUCUUCUAGGUGCUCAGGACCGCUGGGGGUGAGGGUAGGACAGUGAGAAAUUGGAGGCUGAUGCAUUACCUAUGGAUCCAUACCACCAAACUACCAAAGGGGUCCAUGGCACAAAAAGGAUAAGACUGUCAGGAAGAGAUGACCUAGCAAAUGCAGAUGUGGAAAAGGAAUAGGCUUGGAGCAAAUGCAAGGUUUAAUCGCUCUUUCAGGGUUGUAUGCUCCCUGCCCC